rnacentral:rRNA from 1 species
AGAUUGAACGCUGGCGGCAUGCCUUACACAUGCAAGUCGAACGGCAGCGCGGGGCAACCUGGCGGCGAGUGGCGAACGGGUGAGUAAUAUAUCGGAACGUACCCUGGAGUGGGGGAUAACGUAGCGAAAGUUACGCUAAUACCGCAUACGAUCUAAGGAUGAAAGUGGGGGAUUCGCAAGAACCUCAUGCUCCUGGAGCGGCCGAUAUCUGAUUAGCUAGUUGGUGGGUAAAGGCCUACAAGGCAUCGAUCAGUAGCUGGUCUGAGAGGACGACCAGCCACACUGGAACUGAGACACGGUCCAGACUCCUAC